UGAGGUGCAUACACUUGUGUCUGGAACCAGUGACCUUUCCAGAAAGGAAAAGGCACCCACCCCACCCCUUGGAGCAGGCUCUGGAGAAUUCACUUCUUGGCCAGUCACCCCUGGGACCUCCUGCUCUCACCAUUCAGAGGGCCUGAAUGUGGUGUCCUCUGAGUCCUAGCGGCUCAUCCUGCCUUACAUACAGACCCUUAAGGGACCAGGCAAACCCCCCUCAAGCUUCUACCCAUGAUGCUUUGAAAAGCUGCAAAGGGGCCAGGCUGAGGGGAGCAGAGGGAGCCCCACAGCCCUUGGGCCUCUGUAGUCCUUAAGGGCUGGGCACAGGCCUAUCUGAGCCCAGGACCUGAGCCCAAGCAAGAAGGAGAUUUCUCUUUAACGCCUUAGCUCCUCUUCCCCAAAGAGCUCAAGGCAGAGAUUGUCAACCUGGGAUUCUGUGCCCUGCAGUUUCUCAACUUAAUCUGCAGGGAGCAGACUCCCUACAGCGGGCAGGGCUGCAGCAGUAGCCGGGCCUGGCCCCUGUGCCUGGAGGCAACGGGACGAGCUGGGAUGCCCUGGAGCUGUGUCUGGCUGGCCACAGUCGGAGAGAAGCCUAGUAGCUAACUCCUCACGACUCUGGUUAAUUUGCUGAGUGAAGAAGGAAGGAAACGGAAGUGGAUCAAGUAAAAUCAAGAAAAGCAUGGCCGUGACUCAAGGAAGUCCUGAAAAGAAGCAAAGAGGUGGCCGGAAAAACCAGUGUUCCCGGGCCGAAAAGACACAGCACAUAUCAGAUCACAGAACCAACAGCUGAUCACACAGCCGCCUCGGCCUCCUCGCUGCCAGGACUCGGGAGGAAGUGCAGCGGGGAAGGGCAGGCCCACUCCCCAGAGCCAAGCUCAUAUCCCAAGUGCCCCCGCUAUGAGCCACCGUUGCCAGACCAACUCCCGGCACCUGCGCCCGGCCCAGGACCGAAGCCCUGGAGGAUCAUGGCACAGCCCUGAAGCACAACCCACCCACCCUCCUGAUUCGAUCAGCUGUCCUCUCGGAGCCUCAUCCUGCUCUGCUGACUGCUUUUAACUGAACUGUGAAAAAUCACAUCAAAAGCAAAAAAUACACUUUCACGUGAGGAUAAAAUAAACAUUAUAUAUGACUGUCAAGCAGCAGAGACAUCUGAAGUCUAAUACCAAAGAACACUGGACCCCAGUCUCAAGACAGGAUUUCCACCCUACCUCUGCGCUGUCGCCAUGUAAAUUAUGUAACUUCUCAGAGUACAGAAGUUGACCCCUGCCUGUGUGCAGUAUUUAUAAGCACCAGGACCAUAAAUAUAAAUGAAUCGUCUAUAAAUUAAAAAAGGUAUCAUCAUGCUUAAUCUAGUUUCUCAGGUUUGAAGCCAAAAUUUCAAUAUUGUUCACCAAGUACUUGUUAAGCAUACACUAUGUGAAACCAACAUCAACCUCAGCAGAAAGCAGAAUCUA